rnacentral:rRNA from 1 species
UACGUAGGGGGCAAGCGUUGUCCGGAUUUAUUGGGCGUAAAGAGCGUGUAGGCGGUUAGAUAGGUCCGUUGUGAAAACUCGAGGCUCAACCUCGAGACGCCGAUGGAAACCGUCUGGCUAGAGUCCGGAAGAGGAGAGUGGAAUUCCCGGUGUAGCGGUGAAAUGCGCAGAUAUCGGGAAGAACACCCGUGGCUAAGGCGGCUCUCUAGUACGGUACUGACGCUGAGACGCGAAAGCGUGGGGAGCGAACAGG